AUUGUUUCUCGGCCUUUUGGCUAAGAUCAAGUGUAGAAUCUGUUCCCAUCAAUUUAAUAUCUGAUACAUCCUCUACCCAAGGACAAUAUAUUAAAUGGGUUUUGGGAGCCAGGAAGUAGAGUAGGAGCUUGCUCUGUCCGCUCCAUACAUCGAUCUGGUAUUGCAGUGCCUCGGGGAACACUAUACCCCUC